rnacentral:rRNA from 1 species
CCUACGGGAGGCUGCAGUGAGGAAUAUUGGUCAAUGGGCGAGAGCCUGAACCAGCCACGUCGCGUGAAGGAUGACGGCCCUACGGGUUGUAAACUUCUUUUGUCAGGGAGCAAUUGGGUCCACGCGUGGGCUUAGCGAGAGUACCUGAAGAAAAAGCAUCGGCUAACUCCGUGCCAGCAGCCGCGGUAAUGCGGAGGAUGCGAGCGUUAUCCGGAUUUAUUGGGUUGAAAUGGUGCGUAGGCGGAAGAUCAAGUCAGCGGUAAAAAUUCGGGGCUCAACCGCGUCGUGCCGUUGAAACUGAGGUUCUUGAGUGGGCGAGAAGUAUGCGGAAGGCGUGGUGUAGCAGUGAAAUGCAUAGAUAUCACGCAGAACUCCGAUGGCGAAGGCAGGAUACCGGAGCCCAACUGACGCUGAAGCACGAAAGCGAGGGUAUCGAACAGGAUUAGAUACCCCUGUAGUC